rnacentral:rRNA from 1 species
UACAGAGGGUGCGAGCGUUAAUCGGAAUUACUGGGCGUAAAGCGCACGUAGGUGGCGACGUAAGUCGGGGGUGAAAGCCACGGGCUCAACCUGGGAAUUGCAUUCGAUACUGCAUUGCUGGAGUACGGAAGAGGAGGGCGGAAUUCCCGGUGUAGCGGUGAAAUGCGUAGAUAUCGGGAGGAACAUCAGUGGCGAACGCGGCCCUCUGGUCCAGUACUGACACUCAAGUGCGAAAGCGUGGGGAGCAAACAGG